ACUCAAAGGAAUAGACGGGGACCCGCACAAGCGGUGGAUGAUGUGGAUUAAUUCGAUGCAACGCGAAAAACCUUACCUACCCUUGACAUGCUCGGAAUUCUUCAGAGAUGUGGAAGUGCCCGAAAGGGAGCCGAGACACAGGUGCUGCAUGGCUGUCGUCAGCUCGUGUCGUGAGAUGUUGGGUUAAGUCCCGCAACGAGCGCAACCCUUGUCACUAGUUGCUACGAAAGGGCACUCUAGUGAAACUGCCGGUGACAAACCGGAGGAAGGUGGGGAUGACGUCAAGUCCUCAUGGCCCUUAUGGGUAGGGCUUCACACGUCAUACAAUGGUCGGUACAAAGGGCUGCCAACCUGCAAGGGGGAGCUAAUCCCAAAAAACCGAUCGUAGUCCGGAUUGCAGUCUGCAACUCGACUGCAUGAAGUCGGAAUCGCUAGUAAUCGCGGAUCAGCAUGUCGCGGUGAAUACGUUCCCGGGUCUUGCACACACCGCCCGU
rnacentral:rRNA from 1 species